rnacentral:rRNA from 1 species
UACGGAGGGUGCAAGCGUUACCCGGAUUUACUGGGUGUAAAGGGCGUGUAGGCGGUCUCUUUAGUCCGAUGCUAAAGACCGAGGCUCAACCUCGGGAGUGCGUUGGAUACUGUGAGGCUAGACGGUCGGAGAGGGUAGCGGAAUUUCCGGAGUAGCGGUGAAAUGCGCAGAUACCGGAAGGAACGCCAAUAGCGAAAGCAGCUACCUGGACGAUUGGUGACGCUGAGGCGCGAAAGCGUGGGGAGCAAACCGGAUUAGAUACCCCCGUAGUCC